CAAAUACAAUAAGAGUGCUAGGAUUAUAGAAGAAGGGAAACCAAACUCUGACAUCCAUUAUAACAAGAGUGAAUAAAGAGAGUAUUGGUGACUGUUCAGGUUAAGUUUACAGUUUGGUGAUGAGAUGAGUUGAGUUCUUAUCUGAUGGCUUCAAGAUUUUACAAAAUAGUAAUUGAGGUCAUCAGCUAAAAAGUGUGAUGAAAAGAUGAAGGGAGUGAGAGGUUUGAUUAGUGUGGAAAAUGCAUUAAAAAGUCAUUGAUAUAAAUAUUUUAGCACCAUAUGAAAAUAGAGUAAGAUUGAUGGACAUUGUUGACUACUCAAUUAAUACUGUUAGGAAUAUAUAAUGCCAAUCUAUGUGAUUUUAUCUAACAACCCUCAAUUGGCAGGAUGUAAGCUCAAAGGAAAUUAGUAGGGUCUUGACCAACAUGCGAGAAGGGAUGGAGAGAGGGACAUAGAAAUUAAAGACAUUGAUAACAAAAUGAUUUUAAUGAUUGUCUCUGGAACUUAAGCAGGAAAAGAAGAAAGCUGAAAACACACUGAGGAUUAUGGGAGAGGGGCAAGUGCAUGAAGCUUCUCAAUGACAUACAGACACUCUAAAAGCUCAAGAGAUCAAUUAUUCAACUUCAAGAACUGAAAUUUGAACACAGAUUUUGAGCUUCCAAAUCAGACUGCUGUUAAACUGGCUCACUCCAUAUACUCUGUGCUACAGCAAUUUAAUAUUUCAUUAAAAAGCAUUAAUGAUGGCUCCAGUGAAUUUCUCCUAUUCAAGCUCCAUAAUGACAGCAGUUCAAGCGAGUGUUGAUCUCUGAGUGAUGCAACACAAAAACAUCGCCUAACAAAGGAACACUUGGAGUACUACUCAUAUUCUCUGCAACUUGAGGAGAAAAAGAAGUGUUCUAUAAGAAGUUUGGACAAGACUCUGCAAGAAGUUAAGAGCAGGUCCUUAAAGGCAACUGUGAAUUAACGGAGACUAGUUUUGAGAAAAUCAGUCCUGAUUUGUUUCUCCUGGAGUUUUCUUCUUUAUGUGAUCCUUCAUAAAAGCUGCUAAUAUGGGAAAGAUUGAAAUCAGCAAGUUUCUGGCUGUAAGCUAAAAGAGGCUCUUGAAUCAUAUUUCCGCCUGCUUAGCAAAUUUCUCUUGCGACAAUUGGAUGUUAUUUGGGGUUCCAUACUAGCAGGAAGAAGUACAAGCA
rnacentral:lncRNA from 1 species